UUUUAUAUGUAAUUUAAAAUGCCAUGUAAGCAGGAAGGUACUCAUUUAGGAGAAAUUACAAAACUACUUCCUUUUCUUUUAAAUGAUUAAAAAAAUGCACAGCUACAAUAAUUUAGGUAAUAAUAAUAAUAAUGAGAACGCAGCAGGCUUAGUUUGAAACCAGACCUUGCAAUCCUUGACUGCACUUGUCACAAACAUGUUUUCCUCUAAUGAUCCUCAAGCAUUUCCCACUACCUCUUUCUUUUUGAGCACAGACACUGAAUUAAUUACCCAGAAACCUCACUUUUUUAUUUUUGAGUACUCCUUUAUCUUCCCAUGAGAAGAGAAAGCUACUGAGAUUGCCCAGGAUGUGUUUCCCAGGUAUAAUUUCCAUUUUAAGGGAAAGUUAAGACAGGCCUUUUAAGAGGUUUGAUGCAAAAGCCUCUGGAAUCCCUUGUUUUUGGAGUCUGUCUGGAAGUUUGAAUUGGCAUUGGGUUGGAAUCCUCUAAAUAUGAUCCUAUGUAAGCUGAGUAAUGAGGAAGAUGACUUUGCUAUGCUUAGCUGUGGUUCAGUGAUUCUCCCCUGAGAAUCAACUGCUAUAAAAAUCACUGGUUAUUAUGUAAAACAUUGUGACCGAAGCAGUGACAAGGGUUUAUAGAGAAAACUUAGGUAGACUUGCUCAAUGAAAUUAAGAAAAAUAAAAAAGGAACAACAACUUUUCAUCUGGUUCAUCUAAAUGAUAGAUGCUCAUUACAGAACAUUUGGGAAAUAUGUGGCUGGGCAGCAUGGCUCAUGCCUGAAAUACUCACUUGCCCACUGCUCACCUCCUGCUGUGCGGCCCAGUUCCUAACAGGCCACGGGUGGGUACUGGUCUGCAGCCCCAGGACUGGGGACCCCUGACCUAGAGGUUGCCUCUAUAAACAUUGGCAUGUGUGUAUACAACAAGUUGAAUCCAAAUUCGUUUUGUAACCUGCUUUUUUCACUUAACAGUAUAUUGUGAGCAUGUUCCCAUGUCAUUAAAGAUUUUUUGAUUUGCAGUGAGCUGAUAUUGUCUGCUUCCUAGGACUGAGCCACCAGGAUCAAAGAAAGGAAAUCAUUGCCUUCAAGAAGAACAUGGUUGACUCGUGCCCAUACUUGUCUCUCUUUCAUUGAGCCCAUGACUAUUUUUCCUGAUAAGUCAUGCCAACUGGUAUCAAGUCUCAUCUGGAUGACAUAUUUUGUUGUUGUCACUGUUGUUUUUUAUCUAUGGGCCCAAUUGCAAUUUAUAAAUAAGUACUCAUUUUCACACAGAUA
rnacentral:lncRNA from 10 species